UACGAAGGGGGCUAGCGUUGCUCGGAAUCACUGGGCGUAAAGGGUGCGUAGGCGGGUUUUUAAGUCAGAGGUGAAAUCCUGGAGCUCAACUCCAGAACUGCCUUUGAUACUGGGAAUCUUGAGUAUGGAAGAGGUGAGUGGAACUGCGAGUGUAGAGGUGAAAUUCGUAGAUAUUCGCAAGAACACCAGUGGCGAAGGCGGCUCACUGGUCCAUAACUGACGCUCAGGCGCGAUAGCGUGGGGAUCAAACAGG
rnacentral:rRNA from 1 species